GGGGCGCGGGCACCGGCGCCAGCGGCGCGGGGAGGCGGCAGAGCCGGCGGCGGCGGGCGCAGUGCGCGAGGGGAGGAGCGGCCGAGGGGAGGAUGUUCCCGGCGGCGGCGGCCGGGGCGGUGCGGGACAGAGGCACGGCGCGUGGAACCCUGGGCGGCCCAGCGGAUCGCGGCAGUGGGCACGCGGCCAGCUGCGGGCUCUGCGCCGCCCCGCGGCCUCUGAGCGCGGGUCCCUGGCUUUGUCUGGUGCGCCGCCUUCGCGGUGACGGUCUGGGGGCUCCGGGUCGGCGAAGGGUGCGCGCACGACGCCGCGGGGCCCGGGCCCGGACGCGACGCUCGGCAGGGAAGGGUCGGACAAAAAAAGACCAAAUGGCCAAGCAACCUUCUGAUGUAAGUUCUGAGUGUGACAGAGAAGGUGGACAAUUACAGCCCACGGAGAGGCCUCCUCAGCUCAGGCCUGGGGCCCCCAGCUCUGUACAGAUAGAGCCACAAGGUAAUCCUGAAGGCGAAGGGGACCGCUGCCCCCACGGCAGCCCUCAGGGCCCGCUGGCCCCACCGGCCAGCCCUGGGCCUUUUGCUACCAGAUCCCCGCUUUUCAUCUUUGUGAGAAGAUCCUCCCUGCUGUCUCGAUCCUCCAGUGGGUAUUUCUCUUUUGACACAGACAGGAGCCCAGCACCCAUGAGUUGUGACAAAUCAACACAAACCCCGAGUCCUCCUUGCCAGGCCUUCAACCAUUAUCUCAAUGCAAUGGCCUCCAUGCGGCAGUCUCAGGCCCUACCUGCAGACAUGCGUCCGGAGAUGUGGAUCGCUCAGGAGCUGCGGCGGAUCGGGGACGAGUUCAACAACUCCUACCGCAACCCACGGAGGUUAGAGCAAUAGAGGAAGUUGUCGCGUAGUUGUCGUGUGUUCAGGCCGCGUCAGGGCAGUGGGGCAGCGUAUGACACGGAGCUGUGGAGUCUGAAUCCUGGAAGCAGGAGUGAGAGAGGCACAGAAGAAGCCAAGUGAUUUUGAAAGUUAAAUCAAAACAAAGCCACCUGGUGUGUGACAGAUAAAAUCGGACUGUGGUUCGGGAGCCUGCAGGACCCGCCGGCCGGCUUCCUCGUCUGCUCUGGAAGGAGUUGGGAAGCGCCUCGCUGGGCCUUACCGCCGUCCUGCUCGGGCCACAGAUGCUCGGGGGCUGUGGCAACAGUCGCGAAGGGGACUGCCCAGCAGCUGCUGUCGGAACGGCGUGGGGUCUGAGACUGGGCCCUUGUCACAGCCCCCAGAAGUUCACCCUUUGGGGAGUCUGAAACACACUUGGGCCGAUCUUCUGCAUGUUUACCAGGAAGCAGAAGGCCACCCCCAGAUGGUGGUCUUACGACUGUUGCGUUACAUCCUCCGUCUGGUGUGGAGGAUGCUGUGACGACGGGUUCCCGUGGAGCCGAGAUGUGUGCAGACAUUUCAGUUGUUCAAGCGGACAAGCCCAGCGUCACGGCCCCCUGGCGCCAUUGCUUUGCGGCCAGUGGCGGUCCCAGAGCGGCCGGUGUGGCCUGACACCUGGAGCUGCGUGCGGACUUGACCUUAUCGGUUCCUCGCCAUGUGGCAGAGGCUCUAGUGUAGUGUUUGUUAUGAAUGUAAAUGAGAGCAUAUUUUCCUUUUAAAAAUGUUACUAAUCAUGGUUCUUUGGAGCAGGAUUUUAGGCAAGAAUGGUGUAAGAACAGGUUUUUUUAAAAAGGAAGUGGAAAUUUUUAACCAACUCAUAAAUGAAUUUUUACUAAAAAUUUAAGAACCUAUUAUGGAAACUCUCAUGUGGAAACUGAGCCAGCUGGUUUCUAAAGCUGCCUUAGUUUAUUUUUACAGGCUACUGUACAGGACUUUGAAACAUGAGAGGUGUGUAUGAUAUGGCCCCUCCCUCCCUGCCGUUGCCUCUCUCGCCUUCUUUUAAUCAUGAUUACCAAAAAAUUCUUAUGAGAUGCAACUGAUUCAAGGGGUAAAGGGUCUUUUGUCAGCCUGUGUUGGUAUGCCACUGCCACUGUGUAAAUAUUGACUUACCUCCUUAAAUGUAAUUGCAUCCGUGGCAAAAGUGCAGCUUGUCUGUGUGGCUCGUCUUCUCCGGUAUGGCUCCUCUCUCUGUCCUGGGUGCUCAUGCACACAUUUGGUCCAGUGCGUCUUCACGAUUCAAGUGUAACUGGGUCAGAACGUGACUUGGAAUCUGCCCGUGUUGCCCACAGCUCGGCCAGUCUUCGGGGAGCUCGCUCACCGGGGAGUGCUCGGUACUGGUUUCCACGUGGGUUGGUGGGCUGGCGUUGAAGUACAAGUGUCCUGAAGAGAGAGAGUGGCGACAGCACAGACACAGUAUCAGGGCCCUUGGCACUGUUGGCUUUUCCGGUUGCAGGCUUUCCCUCAGCACAGGGGGCACUCAGCAUGAGGCCCCAGGGGGCUGGCAGGCCCACCUGCGGCUGAAUUUGGCUGCAGGAGUCCAAGCUGGAGUCCUCGUGGGAAUUGGCACAGGCUGUGGUGGGCAGGGCUUUGGAUGGCUGUUUCCUGGGCAUCCUGGCUUUCCGUCCACUUCCGAGUUGAUCUGGUCUCUGACGCCCACCACUGGGUUCCCGCUCUUCUAUACACACUUUGAAAUACAGGCUUCAUUCGCUCUGAGCAGCGCCAUGAAAACUCACGAGGCACACGUCCGCAACGGUCCCUUCUGGCAGCUGCUGCUGGUUCUUUUCUCUCGGACAGCUGGGCUUUGUCGGGCCUCCUCUGUGCAUCCACUGCUUCCUCCACGCCCACCUGGGAGGACUGCAGUGAGGGCACCCACGGGUGAUCAGUCAUUUCAAAGGCGGUUAAACAGCGGGGAGGCCCGAGAGGGACCGGUUAGAGAGCAGGGAAGGAAGGUGCCAAUCAUUCUGUGAACCCACAACUCCGACAGUUUUUGAAACCUCAGAUCGUGAAACAGUUUCUUAAGAGAAAUACAUGAUUUUUCAAGUGAGUCAGCAGUGCCAACAACUAUUGCAUUUCCUUUUGGCCCACCAAGGGCCAGCGUUUUCACAUUGUUAAAUUGCAAGGAGAAAUUCAUGUGUCUCUCCAUAGUUUUAUAUAAAUAUAUAUGUAUACAUAUAUGUAUAUACGUGUGUGUAUAUAUAUUUUGCAUAUGCGCUUUCUUUAGGUAGAAAUAUUUGAUCUCAGAUACUUUUCCUUUUUUAAAAUUUCUUUUUCCCCAAAAUCCUUUCUUGGGGGUCUUGAAUAUUUUUAAAACUGUUGAGACUGAGCUUGUGUUCUUGGUAGGUCUGGAACCCCCUUGCUGGGGCACCAAGGCCACACCGCUGGAGGUGGUGGUAACGUGGCCGUGGGCCUACUGGACACACACCAAAGAUGUAUUUGGUUCUGGGCCCAUCCGCUCCCAGGAUCUCCGUACUCAUGUGCCAGUCCCUCUGACUGGAGCACUUUACCCUGUUUCUGGGAGCGCAGGAUGCAGCCCGGGCCGCGGGCUCGCUCGCUGCACCCGCUCCUUUACCUCUGGCUUGGCAGCUGGCCGUGGCCACGCGUGUGAGGAAGUGAUUCUUGGACGUGUAGAAGUAUUAAGAACAGGAUGUUGCACCAGGACAUGAGAGGUGACUGGGUGUCUCUGUACUGUACGUAUCUGUGUAUCAAAAUGCUUCCUGCAGAAAGUAUACCUGCGAUGGUAUGCCUUUUCCUUUUUCUUUUCUGUUUUAUUUCUUUGUAGAGAAAAUAACUAGCUCCCUGUCUGAAAAUUUAUGAGAUGCGGGUUUUGUGCCUUGACCACCUCUUCCCAUGCAAGAUUUGUAGAACGUGUCCUGUGACGAUCACAGAAAUGCAGUCAAUGCCCCCCAGUCGCUCCACGGCGAUUCUUGCAGUUACCCGUAGUCCGGCCUAAAAAUGAGUUUAUGAAGAAUUUGUUUUUAGUUGUGGAGAAACCAGGUAAAAAUUCCUUCUGAUUUAAAAAAGAAAAUGUACUCAGUCGAACCUUCUCCUGUUUCCCCUUCUUAAUAUUGUACAUAUUUUGACUAUUUAUUAGAUUAGAUCAUAUUUUACUUACCAACUGAGCCAAAUGUCUGUGUGCAAUUGUCUCCUUUACCUUUCUUGUAAAAUUUUGUACAGCAUAAAUGAGCAAAAAAAAAAAAAAAAAAAAAUCACUGUUUUUUACUAAACUUUUUCAGAAUUAAGGAUUGUAAAUAUUGUAGAUUCUUUUUCUGUGUAAUGUGUCCUACUGGUUCAUAGUGCUGUAACUUGUAGACAUAAUGUAUAUUUAUUUUCUGCUUAUUUAAUGUCUUAAUUUCUGUAAAGUGUUGACCUCUGACACGCCCUCCCCUCCUUCCCCCACCCCCCCACCAUCCCAUUAUUUGCUUUAAUUCUGAGGUGGCGACUGGUCAGCUCACUGCCGGACAUAUGGUCUUCCUAGGGUGGCUCUCCAGCUUUGGUUCCUGGUAUAUGGUUAAAUGGGUUUACAUGCUUGGUCUUUGCUGUCCUUUGAUAAAGCUCAUGUUUAGACACCAAUGAGAGACCAUAAAUCGGGCAGGUUUCAUAAUUCUUCGGGAAAUACCCAGUGACUUUCUAUUGGUUCCAAAACAGCUAGCUUCCCAUGGAAGCAAAUUCUAUUAGCUUCCAGGAUUUGUCUUUUUU